rnacentral:lncRNA from 8 species
ACAGCCUACAUAUCAACACACACAGCCUACAUAUCAAUACCAACACACACAGCCUUGAUAUCAAUACCAACACACACAGCCUACAUAUCAAUACCAACACACACAGCCUACAUAUCAAUACCAACACACACAGCCUACAUAUCAAUACCAAUACACACAGCCUACAUACCAAUACACACAGCCUACAUAUCAAUACCAACACACGCAGCCUACAUAUCAAUACCAACACACGCAGCCUACAUAUCAAUACCAACACACGCAGCCUACAUAUCAAUACACGCAGCCUACAUGUCAAUACCAAUACACGCAGCCUACAUAUCAAUACCAAUACACACAGCCUACAUAUCAAUACACACAGGCUACAUAUCAAUACCAAUACACACAGCCUACAUAUCAAUAUCAAUACACACAGCCUACAUAUCAAUACCAACACACACACAAACUAUCUAGGCACUCCUUUGAUAUAAAGUUGUUUUUGACCAAUGAAAGUGUGUCAGUUUGUCACUUUCACAACGUUGGAGUAAUAACAUGUUCAACUAUUUAAGACAUUGUCUCCAGUCUAGGUUGUGCCUUUAGAUUUAGAGAAACAAAACCACAAAAUGAACUUCUCAUUGACUUCUCGAACCCCAAACCCCAAACCUGGUCUGUUUGGUCUGUUUCACAAGCAUGCCCGGAAGUCUUGCGAUGUUGCUAGUUUAGAAACUCUUUGCCUAAAGUUAACUGAAGUUUGUAGUGGCUGAUGACAGACAACUGAACCAUGGAUGCUAGUUUCACCUGGUCCACAGACUACUUUCAGAGUGAGGAACCAGCUAGCAUCAAGGUGUAAAAUCCUCAACUUCCCCUUUGAUGGCAGUUGAUGGCAGUGGCUAAGUAGACAAAUCCUAACAGUGGAUCAGACUCUCCUGGUUGGCCCAGAGACUACGUUCAAGGAAAGGAACCAUCUAACUAAUGUUGUCAUUUUGGUGACCUAUCCCUUUAAGUUUUGUUUCAAUGACAUUAGGCACCAUAUCCUGACUAUUCCAGGUGACUUAUCCAGACGGAGGUCGAUCAGAGGGUCAACUGGCCAUUCAGCUGACAGUUUAAUUGACUGACUAGGAAGUGGUUUUCUUUGUCUUAGUGUCUGUAGUCAGGACGUAGUUCUGUACUGAAUGCAGCCAUCUGCUGGUGAAAACAUCUCCGUUUGUAGAUCUGUAUUUACAAGAAAAACUAUUCCAAAUCAUUUUUGAUAUUCAAUCUUCAGUUUAUUUCUCUUUCCACUGAAGAAAGUCUGAAUCUCAGUGUUGUUUUUUGUAAUAUUAUGUUACGCUGACAAUUGUAUGACAUUUCGCAGUUCCCUUCCCACAAGUCAGUGUUAUGAAGCCGGUGUAUCAUGGCUGUGAGUUGACUUGGGGGGAGUGUUUCAUAGCGAACCACUGACUCCCUACAGUACCCUGGUUUGUCUGUAUAGAGGGCUACAGUCAAACGGAGAGGGCCUCACUCUAAAAACAGAGGUGUGUUUUCGUCAUGCUGUGUACCUGCCAACCCUGCAUGACUCCUGGCUGGGAGGAGAUCCAAACCAGAGAGACUGGUAUUUUCUUCCACACUAAGGAGUCGUAUGAGUUCUAUCUACCUCACAUCUGUUUCUACUGCUUUCUGGGGACACAUGUUCAUAUCCUGCAUAAUCAGCUGGCACAACGGGCAGAUAGAGACUGAUAAACAGUCAGGACCUAAUGUAGGGGAUCUAACACAGUGGUCUAAUGGUUGUAGAUAGUGUAGUUGGUCUUAAUGUAGGGGAUCUAACACAGUGGUCUAAUGGUUGUAGAUAGUGUAGUUGGUCUUAAUGUAGGGGAUCUAACACAGUGGUCUAAUGGUUGUAGAUAGUGUAGUUGGUCUUAAUGUAGGGGAUCUAACACAGUGGUCUAAUGGUUGUAAAUAGUGUAGUUGGUCUUAAUGUAGGGGUUCUAACACAGUGGUCUAAUGGUUGUAGAUAGUGUAGUUGGUCUUAAUGUAGGGGAUCUAACACAGUGGUCUAAUGGUUGUAGAUAGUGUAGUUGGCUCAGGUUGGGCUUAAUAU